rnacentral:rRNA from 1 species
GACGAACGCUGGCGGCGUGCUUAACACAUGCAAGUCGAACGGAAAGGCCCUGCUUUUGUGGGGUGCUCGAGUGGCGAACGGGUGAGUAACACGUGAGUAACCUGCCCUUGACUUUGGGAUAACUUCAGGAAACUGGGGCUAAUACCGGAUAGGAGCUCCUGCUGCAUGGUGGGGGUUGGAAAGUUUCGGCGGUUGGGGAUGGACUCGCGGCUUAUCAGCUUGUUGGUGGGGUAGUGGCUUACCAAGGCUUUGACGGGUAGCCGGCCUGAGAGGGUGACCGGCCACAUUGGGACUGAGAUACGGCCCAGACUCCUACGGGAGGCAGCAGUGGGGAAUAUUGCACAAUGGGCGGAAGCCUGAUGCAGCAACGCCGCGUGCGGGAUGACGGCCUUCGGGUUGUAAACCGCUUUCGCCUGUGACGAAGCGUGAGUGACGGUAAU